rnacentral:tRNA from 1 species
GGCGGGGUAGCUCAGGUGGUUAGAGCAGCGGGAUCAUAAUCCGCGUGUCGGGGGUUCGAGUCCCUCUCUCGCUACCA